CAGAUACUCCUUUUGUCCUAAAAUUCUUGUCUUAAGUUUGUCAACAUAUGGAUGUAUGUAAAUACUAAAACGUGACUAGAUACGUUUAUAUGUAGAUAAAUUUAAGGCAAGAAUUUUUGGGACAGAGGGGUACAAA
rnacentral:pre_miRNA from 2 species